rnacentral:rRNA from 1 species
CCUACGGGUGGCAGCAGUGGGGAAUAUUGGGCAAUGGAGGAAACUCUGACCCAGCAACGCCGCGUGAAUGAUGAAGGUCUUCGGAUUGUAAAGUUCUUUUCUAAGGGAAGAAGAAAGUGACGGUACCUUAGGAAUAAGCCUCGGCUAACUACGUGCCAGCAGCCGCGGGAAUACGUAGGAAGCGAGCGUUAUCCGGAAUGACUGGGCGUAAAGGGUGCGUAGGUGGUUUGGCAAGUUAGUAGCGUAACUCCAAGGCUCAACCUUGGAACUGCUACUAAAACUGUUGGACUUGAGUGCGGGAGAGGCAAGCGGAAUGCCUGGUGUAGCGGUGGAAUGCGUAGAUAUUGGGAGGAACACCGAUGGCGAAGGCAGGUUGCUAGACUGUAACUGACGCUGAGGCACGAAAGCGUGGGGAGCGAACAGGAUUAGAUACCCGAGUAGUC